UGGCAGGCCGUUCAGCGAGGCUGAGUCUGAAGUGACUCUGUUCUUUCCUGUUGUGUCUGCUAGAUGGACUUGAGGUGGUUUGAGGCCUGCUGUUUACCUUCUGCAGUAUGGUUAUAGAAACCUCAGACAAUC